UCCAAUCAACUGACUCUACUGUCGACCUUUGAUCUUCUUUCUGCACCUCACUAUACCUCACAUUAUCUCAUUACCAACCACUUACUCCAGAACAGCAACAUUCUCUUUAAACUGACUACAGAUAAUUACUGCAACGUCCUGUCCAGGCUUCACUCAAGUCUUCCCCUGCUUUGACUUGCAUAAGCAGCUCACACUGGUUUCCGUGCAUCACCAGAGCAGGUGCUGGGGUUGUUUUUCACUUACAUGGACGUGAAUGCUAAGGCACAGGGAGCCAUCUCCAAGCAGCCCCUUCCGAAAAGAACCACCAGGACAAGGACUGAUGACGAGGAACCCAUUACUCGCCCCUUGCCAAUCUGAAAGCACAUUCUGGCGAGCUAAGGACUGAGUAACGUUGGCCAUAUAUUAACUGCUAAACAGAGAAAGCUGACAAGUUUAUUUUCUUUUAAAUUGGGUCGUAUAUUUUUGCAUUUCUGCAAAAUGCAGAACAUGGGUGGUGAACAUGGGUAUCUUUAUCAGGAAGGAAGGAGGUGUUUUUUUAAUCAGAUGGAAUUUCAGGGCUUAGCAAAAACAGCUUUUGGCUACAGACUGAGCAGCAACAGGGGAACUUCACAGAAGUGACACAGCAAUUUGUGUUAAAAUACUGGCAGCCAAUUCAUGAAUGCUAAAGCCGACGACGAAUUCAGCUGCUUCUGUUAAGCCUUUAUUCCCGCUAAGCUCAUGAUUCAUAAAGAAAGCGCCCGGAGUUACUCCUCUGAAACAUAGAGUAUGUGCUGACAGACUCCUCUUUGACGUCUCUCUCUCCUUCUCUCUCUCAGAUUCCCAUUCUCUCUUCCACACGGAUGCCCUCUCCUCCCCCAAGAAGAGGCAUUAAGGAUGGGAAGUCCCUGUCACCGACCGCCCACAGCCUUACUUAGUAGGUAAUUUUCAUGAAAGGAGCACAUGGAUUUCUUUAAAAUCUUCCACAUCUGUAAGUCUUAGUUGGUGUAAAAUAUUAUGACUCCGUUUUCUUUCCCUUUGUGACAUGAAUAUAGUAUAUAUUGGAUCGUAACUUCUAGGAAGGACUGCACCACGCUUUUCCCAGAGAAGACAAAAAUGCUAUUUUUAUCACCAAACCACACUGGCUGC